UGGGGAAUCUUCCGCAAUGGACGAAAGUCUGACGGAGCAACGCCGCGUGAGUGAAGACGGCCUUCGGGUUGUAAAGCUCUGUUAUUCGGGAAGAACGAUUCGUUUGUGAACAAUGAACGGAAGUGACGGUACCGAAAGAGAAAGCCACGGCUAACUACGUGCCAGCAGCCGCGGUAAUACGUAGGUGGCAAGCGUUGCCCGGAAUUAUUGGGCGUAAAGAGCGCGUAGGCGGUAUGGUAAGUCUGUCUUAGAAGUGCGGGGCUUAACCCCGUGAGGGGACAGAGACUGUCAUACUGGAGUCUCGGAGAGGAAAGCGGAAUUCCUAGUGUAGCGGUGAAAUGCGUAGAGAUUAGGAAGAACACCGGUGGCGAAGGCGGCUUUCUGGACGAGCACUGACGCUGAGGCGCGAAAGCGUGGGGAGCGAACAGG
rnacentral:rRNA from 1 species